GUUUCUUUGAAGUCAUAUAUGCAUCCGGUCUAGAGGUAUCCACAUGAAGCUGAUUUGAUCAGAAUAUCUUAAUCUCAUCGGGUGCUAGCUCCUUUGCAGAAAUCACUCUUUAGAUGUUGAAUCUUUUUCUCUUUUUUCUCCUUUUUCUCUUCUCAAGAGAAGAACAAAAAAACUAGAGGAGAAGGAGGUGAGAGAAGAGAGAGCAUGGAGGCUUUUAGUCCAACUCUUUGGACACCACACACAA
rnacentral:lncRNA from 1 species